rnacentral:rRNA from 1 species
AGUGAACGCUGGCGGUAGGCCUAACACAUGCAAGUCGAACGGCAGCACAGUAAGAGCUUGCUCUUACGGGUGGCGAGUGGCGGACGGGUGAGGAAUACAUCGGAAUCUACUUUUUCGUGGGGGAUAACGUAGGGAAACUUACGCUAAUACCGCAUACGACCUACGGGUGAAAGCAGGGGAUCUCCGGACCUUGCGCGAUUGAAUGAGCCGAUGUCGGAUUAGCUAGUUGGCGGGGUAAAGGCCCACCAAGGCGACGAUCCGUAGCUGGUCUGAGAGGAUGAUCAGCCACACUGGAACUGAGGCACGGUCCAGACUCCUACGGGAGGCAGCAGUGGGGAAUAUUGGACAAUGGGCGCAAGCCUGAUCCAGCCAUACCGCGUGGGUGAAGAAGGCCUUCGGGUUGUAAAGCCCUUUUGUUGGGAAAGAAAAGCAGCAGGUUAAUACCCCGCUGUUCUGACGGUACCCAAAGAAUAAGCACCGGCUAACUUCGUG